AGCCUAGCUGAAGAUGACAACACA
rnacentral:siRNA from 1 species